rnacentral:rRNA from 1 species
AGUGGCGAACGGGUGAGUAACACGUGGGUAACCUGCCCAGAAGUAGGGGAUAACACCUGGAAACAGAUGCUAAUACCGUAUAACAGAGAAAACCGCAUGGUUUUCUUUUAAAAGAUGGCUCUGCUAUCACUUCUGGAUGGACCCGCGGCGUAUUAGCUAGUUGGUGAGGUAAAGGCUCACCAAGGCAGUGAUACGUAGCCGACCUGAGAGGGUAAUCGGCCACAUUGGGACUGAGACACGGCCCAGACUCCUACGGGAGGCAGCAGUAGGGAAUCUUCCACAAUGGACGCAAGUCUGAUGGAGCAACGCCGCGUGAGUGAAGAAGGGUUUCGGCUCGUAAAGCUCUGUUGUUAAAGAAGAACGUGGGUAAGAGUAACUGUUUACCCAGUGACGGUAUUUAACCAGAAAGCCACGGCUAACUACGUGCCAGCAGCCGCGGUAAUACGUAGGUGGCAAGCGUUAUCCGGAUUUAUUGGGCGUAAAGCGAGCGCAGGCGGUCUUUUAAGUCUAAUGUGAAAGCCUUCGGCUCAACCGAAGAAGUGCAUUGGAAACUGGGAGACUUGAGUGCAGAAGAGGACAGUGGAACUCCAUGUGUAGCGGUGAAAUGCGUAGAUAUAUGGAAGAACACCAGUGGCGAAGGCGGCUGUCUGGUCUGCAACUGACGCUGAGGCUCGAAAGCAUGGGUAGCGAACAGGAUUAGAUACCCUGGUAGUCCAUGCCGUAAACGAUGAUUACUAAGUGUUGGAGGGUUUCCGCCCUUCAGUGCUGCAGCUAACGCAUUAAGUAAUCCGCCUGGGGAGUACGACCGCAAGGUUGAAACUCAAAAGAAUUGACGGGGGCCCGCACAAGCGGUGGAGCAUGUGGUUUAAUUCGAAGCUACGCGAAGAACCUUACCAGGUCUUGACAUCUUCUGACAGUCUAAGAGAUUAGAGGUUCCCUUCGGGGACAGAAUGACAGGUGGUGCAUGGUUGUCGUCAGCUCGUGUCGUGAGAUGUUGGGUUAAGUCCCGCAACGAGCGCAACCCUUAUUACUAGUUGCCAGCAUUAAGUUGGGCACUCUAGUGAGACUGCCGGUGACAAACCGGAGGAAGGUGGGGACGACGUCAAAUCAUCAUGCCCCUUAUGACCUGGGCUACACACGUGCUACAAUGGAUGGUACAACGAGUCGCGAGACCGCGAGGUUAAGCUAAUCUCUUAAAACCAUUCUCAGUUCGGACUGUAGGCUGCAACUCGCCUACACGAAGUCGGAAUCGCUAGUAAUCGCGGAUCAGCAUGCCGCGGUGAAUACGUUCCCGGGCCUUGU